rnacentral:rRNA from 1 species
CCUACGGGGGGCAGCAGUGGGGAAUAUUGCACAAUGGGGGAAACCCUGAUGCAGCGACGCCGCGUGAGUGAAGAAGUAAUUCGUUACGUAAAGCUCUAUCAGCAGGGAAGAAACACUGACCUUACGGGCAGCAGACGGUACCUGAGGAAGAAGCCCCGGCUAACUACGUGCCAGCAGCCGCGGUAAUACGUAGGGGGCAAGCGUUAUCCGGAUUUACGGGGUGUAAAGGGAGCGUAGACGGUGCGCCAAGGCUGGAGUGAAAUGCCGCCGCUUAACUGCGGAACUGCUUUGGAAACUGGCGAACUUGUGUGCGGGCGGGGUCAGCGGACUUCCUAGUGUAGCGGU